CAGUCGCCACGGGAAUACGGAGGGGGCUAGCGUUGUUCGGAAUUGUUGGGCGUAAAGGGCUCGCAGGCGGUUUCUUAAGUCUGAUGUGAAAGCCCCCGGCUCAACCGGGGAGGGUCAUUGGAAACUGGGAAACUUGAGUGCAGAAGAGGAGAGUGGAAUUCCACGUGUAGCGGUGAAAUGCGUAGAGAUGUGGAGGAACACCAGUGGCGAAGGCGACUCUCUGGUCUGUAACUGACGCUGAGGAGCGAAAGCGUGGGGAGCGAACAGGAUUAGAUACCCCUGUAGUCCCUGUCUCUUAUAC
rnacentral:rRNA from 1 species